GGCGGACGCGCGCCGCGCAGCACGCCGACGCCGACGCGACGCCGGCGCCGACCGACGCCGUGCCGACGCGGGGGCGUGGCUCCGGUGCGACAAACGAACGGAAGCUAGCAGCCGUUGACCAGCGGCUGUCUGAAGUUGCAGGGGACACCUCACGCCUCACAUCAAAGCACUCUUCCUUCUCCGCAAGCGCAGCCCGCUGGAUUUCAGAACGAUCCGCGAAAGUUUGAAAGAGCUGCCGUGUAAGCAUGUUUGUGUACAAGAAAAAUGUGAUAUAAGACUUUAGAAACAAACGAAAGGGUCUGUGAAAUUCCCACUGUAUGCUGUCAUACGAAAUGUGAAAUACACGAGAGUGACUGUAA